rnacentral:tRNA from 1 species
GCCACCAUAGUACAGAGGUUAUCAUGUCUGCCUCAAAAGCUGAACGCCUGGGUUCAAAUCCCGGUGAGAACA